rnacentral:rRNA from 1 species
AGUGAACGCUGGCGGUAGGCCUAACACAUGCAAGUCGAACGGCAGCACAGUAAGAGCUUGCUCUUACGGGUGGCGAGUGGCGGACGGGUGAGGAAUACAUCGGAAUCUACUUUUUCGUGGGGGAUAACGUAGGGAAACUUACGCUAAUACCGCAUACGACCUACGGGUGAAAGCAGGGGAUCUUCGGACCUUGCGCGAUUGAAUGAGCCGAUGUCGGAUUAGCUAGUUGGCGGGGUAAAGGCCCACCAAGGCGACGAUCCGUAGCUGGUCUGAGAGGAUGUACCGCCAACGUGGAACUGGGAAAGGGCCCAGACCCCUACGGGGGGCAGCAGUGGGGAAUUUUGGAAAAGGGGCGAAAGCCUGAACCAGCCAUACCGGGUGGGUGAAGAAGGCCUUGGGGUUGUAAAGCCCUUUUGUUGGGAAAAAAAAGCAGCAGGUUAAUACCCCGCUGUUCUGACGGUACCCAAAGAAUAAGCCCCGGCUAACUUCGG